rnacentral:rRNA from 1 species
AUUGAACGCUGGCGGCAUGCUUUACACAUGCAAGUCGAACGGUAACAGGCCGCAAGGUGCUGACGAGUGGCGAACGGGUGAGUAACGCAUCGGAACGUGCCCAGUCGUGGGGGAUAACGCAGCGAAAGCUGCGCUAAUACCGCAUACGAUCUAUGGAUGAAAGCGGGGGACCGUAAGGCCUCGCGCGAUUGGAGCGGCCGAUGUCAGAGUAGGUAGUUGGUGGGGUAAAGGCUCACCAAGCCAACGAUCUGUAGCUGGUCUGAGAGGACGACCAGCCACACUGGGACUGAGACACGGCCCAGACUCCUACGGGAGGCAGCAGUGGGGAAUUUUGGACAAUGGGCGCAAGCCUGAUCCAGCAAUGCCGCGUGCAGGAAGAAGGCCUUCGGGUUGUAAACUGCUUUUGUACGGAACGAAACGGUCCUGGUUAAUACCUGGGGCUAAUGACGGUACCGUAAGAAUAAGCACCGGCUAACUACGUGCCAGCCGCCGCCGUAACAC